rnacentral:rRNA from 1 species
UACGAAGGGGGCUAGCGUUGCUCGGAAUCACUGGGCGUAAAGGGUGCGUAGGCGGGUCUUUUAAGUCAGGGGUGAAAUCCUGGAGCUCAACUCCAGAACUGCCUUUGAUACUGAAGAUCUUGAGUUCGGGAGAGGUGAGUGGAACUGCGAGUGUAGAGGUGAAAUUCGUAGAUAUUCGCAAGAACACCAGUGGCGAAGGCGGCUCACUGGCCCGAUACUGACGCUGAGGCGCGAAAGCCAGGGGAGCAAACGGG